AUCGGAAUCGAGAAGAAUGUAAAGCUCCUUCCACCGAGCCACGCCUGGGAAAUUAGCCGCGCUAGGUCAUCCAAGAUGGCGAUUUGCGGAAGAAGCUUUCCUUUAGAAGUCAUCUUCUCAAUAAUUUUUGAAGGAGUAAUACGCAAAUAUACAAGACUAAACGAAGGCAAAAGCAAUUCCAAUUGCUAGGAAGUAUUGCAGAGGAUCAGAAUUGAAUGAUAUCUGCAUUCUUAUUACGUCCAAAGAAGAUAUUUGGAUUUGAACUAAGCUUAAUGUGAUCAUUAAACAUUUGACAUCCGAAAUGAAACGCUUUUCCAUUGGUACUUCCUGUUUUUCCUCAAAUCCGAAGAUUCGUUCUACUUGGAUAGUAGAAAUGUCCGAAAGUCAACGAACUUAGGAAAUGGAAACGUUUACCUCUUCACUCUUAUAUUUCAAUGAGAUUUUAUCAUGGCUACUAGAAUAUUUCUAUUGAUGAACAUUAUUCGAGCAUAUUGAAGCAGAAGAGUGUUUCAAGAGUUAGUUGAAAAUUCUAACAAAGGAAGGAACAUCGUUAGCUAUUGUUCAUGUAUGCAUUAUGUGAUUGUGAAUACCUAGGAAGAGGAAAAAGAAGAAAAUACAUACUUGCUUGACGACGAAGUUUCGAAAGAUCAAUAUGGCAAUGUUUUAUAAAGCUUGGAACAAGGGUACGAGGAAAUGGGAGGGAUUUAUCUUUUUCAAAGCAUCUAACUGUGAGCGGCUUUAGCUGGAGGGUAUAAGCGAUUGUGUUCAACAAGCUUUGUCGAAGAGCCGUCCGACGUUCCAUGCGAGAUCAGCUCGGUCAUCCGACGAGGCAGUCUGGUGGAGGAACUCCUCUGCGGAAAUCAUCCUUUCAAUAAUUUUUGAUCGAGUAAUACGCAAAAAUAUACCAGGUUAAACGAAGGCGAAAGCAGUUUCAAUAGCUUAGAAAUAUUGCAAAGCUGCAGAAUUGACUGCUAUCUGAAUUGUAAUUACUUCCAAAGAAAAUAUGUGAAUUUCAACUACGCUGCAUGAUAAUUAAAUAUUCCGGAUCCGAAAUGAAACACAUUUAUUUUGGCAGUCCUUGCUCUUCCGCAUAUCCGACGAUAGGUCAUUUAUGGAUAGCAUGAAUAUCUGACCAUCAAACAGAUCAGGAAAUGAAAACGUUUUCCUUUUUAAUCUUAUAUUUAAAUGGUCGAUCAAUCAAUGUUCUAUUUAUCGAAUGAUUUUAUGAUGACGACGCGAGUAUUUCUAUUGAUGAGAGGGACAUUAGGUCUCUUAACUGUAUCUAUCCUUCAUAUUGUAUUAUUGUAUAUAAAUCAAGAAGCUAUAUAUUUAUUAACUAAUGUAAUGAAAAAUAUUAUAUAUAUGGGAAGCAAGAUGCUCCAUGAAAGAGAGGAGAUCAUAAAAGCAGGGGAUGAAGCUGAUGCUGCUCACGAAUUUAUUACAAAUCUUCCAAAUGAUCUCGUAGGCAAGUUAGUGAGAGAAUCACCUAAUUAUCUGGUUUAUGGAAACAACAUGAUUCUAUUGCUAGAGCAUUACUGUAGCAACCAUCGACAUCAAUAUUAAAUUUUAAUACACGAGUGCAUUGAAUCGUGAAAGCAGAAGAGUGGUCCAAGAAGGUGGAAAUUCGAAAUGAAGAUGGAACAUCAUUAGCUACUCCUCUUGCGUUCAUUAUGUGAUUCAGAAUACCUAGGAAAUGCAAAAGGAAAAAGAACAUUUGUGUUUUUCCGACGAAAUUUGGAAAAAUCAAUAUGGCAUUGUUUUAUAAAGCUUGGAACUGUGGUACGAGGAAAUGGGAGGGAUUUACCUUCUUCAAAGGAUCGAAACGUGAGCGGCUUUAGCUGUAGGCUAUAAGCGACUGUACUCAGAUCGAUUUGUCGACGUUCCACGCAGGGCCAGGAUCAAAUGGGAAUUGAAAUGAAACUGAGGGAAGUAUAUCAUACAUAAUAAUUUAUAUACAGGGACGAUCAAAAGAUUCACCGUUUUUGGAAGUAAUAACGUUAACAGGGAAAUACUUUUAAAUUAUACGUGAAAUGGAAAAUCCACGUUCACGUGAUUUUUAUUCCAUCGAAUCAAAUUAAGUAAGCAUUCGAUAUUAUUAAGAAAGGAGAAAUGCUGAAUUCUGUAUUUGAUAUUAUUUCUCAUAACAUUCACGACAUGUACUUAAAGAAUAUUCGUAAUAUUUAAUUAGCGGUUUUCUUAAAUAUUGAAAUUUGGACGAAGAAUUCGGUAGCACAAAGUAUCUGUUUUUAAUACGUUCUCCCAUACUUAUCGAGAAAUACCUUCGUUUUAAACUUUUCGGUAUUAUCUCCCUCAAUCUGCGGGUGCUCUAGUGCACGACUAUCUGCGGCGGUUCGAGUAGCCGGGGAUGAGUGAGCGGUCCUGUGUGCGUGUAUGCGGACAACCCCUAUUUUACCUUCAUAUAAUUGGAGAUUAGCUCUAUAAUUCCAUUACCUAUUUAGAUUUAUCGUUUGAUAGCACGAUUACUUAUUUUGCAGAGUAGUGGAUUAUUUUCUUUGGAACAAAUUGAUUUGGAACAUAAUAUACGAAAUAUUAGAUAAUUAGGAUUAUUUUUUUGCAUUCUUCAAUAGGGAGUAAAUUUCUAGGAAAAUGUUUCGGUUUAUAUAGAAAAAUUAAAUCAGUCGUGGUACAUUGACGUCCAAAUUAUCCAGAUAACUGCAUGAUACAGCUAAAUGGAUAAUUGAAUUAUACCGCUAAUCUUAUUAUCGAAUUGUCUGCUUCGUUUGAUGAGAGGGAAACUCAUGAAAAAAUACCUUUCUUCUUUUUAAAAUAAGAGAAGUGAUGUACGUAGAAACGCCCACUUAUUCCCGUCCACUCGAGCUGCACUUGAAAAGCGCGCACGGAGAGGAACAACAAUCCAUCGUUUAAUAUCAUGGUGCUUGACGAUAGGUACGAGGGAAGGUUUUGCGUACGCACAGAUCGUUAAAUUCCGAUCAAUACUCGUUAACAGGGAAAUUUGUAGACAUGAAGGAUCAUAUAUUUUUGCAAAAAAGAGCAAAAUUUUGUCCUUUAUAAUUUUUCACGAUGUCUAUGAUAAAUGUUGAAUCAAUUCUUUUCUACUACUCGAAGUUUCAAUACGAAGUGAGCUCAGCUUUGAAAAUCUCUUUCCUGAGUUUUAUGAAUACUUGUUUACUUCAUCAAAUAUCACUAUAUCGUACGAGGCAUACUCAUGUACUAUUACAAACAAAUCCUUUUCAUCGCUCUCUUUAAGCAGGCUGGAUAAGCAUCCAGAUCGUUGUGAACGUACUUCUUCUUCAUAAAACCGAUUGUUUUCGUACGUCCUCGUAAUUUGAUUAUUUCGUUAGUAACGAAUUCAAUUGUUCUCUCGGAGGUGAAAUACGUGAAAGAGAAGGUAAUAUUAGGUGAGAAAGAAAUACGAAGAAAGAUAUUGUCCGAAUACAAGUUUUUUAUCAUUAUGCAAUAACGAAAAUGAAUUUUUCGAUAACUUGAGCAAUAUUCAUUUGUUUACAAGAAAAGAAGGUAAUAUUUGGAAAAAAUGUUUUCAAGCAAAAUGGAAGUAGAUAUAACUUCCGAACAUGAGAAAUGCUUUCACCACAGUCUGAGCUCUUCUCUGAUCCGCUGAAGGAGGGUUGUAAGAAGAACUUGUAUAUAUAGUGAUAUUUGAUGAAGCAAACAACCGAUCCUAAAACUGGAGAAAGAGAUUGUCAAAGCUGAAACGAGUUCUUAUUAAAACUUGUAGUAGUAUAAAUAGGUCCCUCGACUAAUUAAUCAAAAAACCAGGAAAGUAUUAUUUUUUUGUUAUGUAUCAUUUCGUGAUUUCGUAAAAUGCAAUUAUCUCCAUUUUAUUUAUUUAUCUAUUUUUUUUUUCUUCUUUUUUUCUUUCUUUCUUUCUUUUAUUAAGAGAAAGGCAAAGUGCCCAAAUACGCACAAGUCUCAUGAUAUAAGAUAUAAGUAGUGAAGAAGAAUGUCAGAUAGGCAUUCAUACAGUCACGUUAGAAAAAAUAAAUAUGAAUUCGGAAGAAUACAACAGUAGGGAUAGUUAUAUCAUCUAGCAAGGAAACGAAGAGAUCUCAUUGAUGAAAGUGAUGAAAAUGUUGUAAGAGAAUUGCUUGAAAACUAAUCAUAGAUUUCGUAAAAACUAAUAAGUACUUUUAAAAUAUAUACUCUGAUGUGAGUCGUUGGACCACGUCUGCGCCAAUAAAGUUCCAUCGAUUUGUUGAGAGGUAACGACCGAAAGGACUCAGUGUAGAAAUGAUUAUUACGUUAUACGCACAUUAAUUGCUUACUCGGACGGAAAGGUCGAAAAUGAAGUUAAUUAAGGGGAAAUGAACUUCUCUUUUAUUAUUGAACAAAUAUCUUUGAAUUCGACAUGUUACUUUUCUCUCUUUUUUUUUUCUCUCUUUCUUUACACUUUAUAAUCUGAAAUAAACUAAUGAAUGUUGUCUAUUAAUUUUGUUUUUAUUUGUUUGCUUAAAAUUGACUAUCAAUAAGAAUUAAUUUCUCCUUUUUUUUAGCUCUUGAAACUAUCAUUUCUUUUCGUUUAUUACUCGAUAAUAAGGUAUACAGAUUCAGAGAAAAUCUUUCGCCAUAUUCAUUUCUUUUUUUUUUCGUUGUAUCAUCUUUUUCUCUAUUACGUAUCUCAUUUGAAUGCGCUUUACGCAAGCCAAUUUAAAUUUCCUGUUAAAAUUUCCCGAAAGGGCUAAAAAUUCGGAAAAAUAUACGGGUUGGGAGGAAAUGAAUUUCUCGAUCAAUUCCUUUUAAUUCGACAUAAUAUCAUUCGUUUGAAUAGCCGUACGACUAGACGAAAUAUAUCUUUUCCAAAUGAUCUAUAGAUGAGGAGCUUUAGCUAGAGGGAAUAAUCGAUUCGAAUCGAAACGGCCGUUGAGGGGAUGUCCGUUGACAUUGCAUGUGGAACAUAAAUCAAAGUAGAAUUGAGAUGGAAUUGAGAAAAGUUUAUCUUUAUGGUAUAUUCUAUAUUUAGUAAAAUAUAUUUUAUAUAGUAAAAUAAUAUUUGUAAUUCCCAAAUGCAUUAUUCAAAUGAUUUAUGUUCUCAGUAAGCGUAUAAUAUAACAUUGAUAUGAUGCAUCGCCUAACAUAGUAGAAAUCUAUCUUACUUUUCGACUUACCGAUCGACAUGGCUCAAAGCAUAAAUUAUAAAUGUUUUAGGAAGAUAGCCUUGCCAUGAAAUAAUCUUUCCUUCUCAAUAGAAUCUUCUGAUUCUACUUUCUUGGUAAUGUCAAUAUUCUCUUUACGAAAAAUAAAUAAAUUUGAAUAACCAAAUACCAAAAAAAGGUCACUCCCCCAAAAGGGGAUAGACAUAAUUAGAUAUUACAAAGUAAAAUGAUCGAAAGGAUAUGAAUAUGCAGAAUGAUUCAUAGGAGGAAACAAAGGCAGAGAAAUAAUCAAAAAGAAAAGUAUCAUAAUAAUAAAAAAAAAUUAUUAUCUACGAUAGUUUGGAUUUAAUAAUAAAAAGAGUAGAAAAAAUGAGUAGGAAAAAUAGUAGAAAUAAAUUUAUUAAAUAUUUUAAUCUAUCGCGUUAAAUCUAUCUAUAUAUUAAUCUAUCGUAUUUAUUGGAAUGCAUUACAAGAUGUUGAUCCUCAAUCUUGUAGGCUUCAAUAUAAAUUCUCGCAAGACUCAAAUGAAAGAAAAUCCAAAAUAAUAUAUAAGCCCCCGAUCAGCCGCGAUAAUCGAAUGUGCAUCAUACGUAUCAAUUUAAACAAGAUGCUCUCAUAUUUGAAUUUUUUUAUUUCGAUCCAUCAACCUGAAUGUUUAGUCAAGGGUAAUUUUUUUAUACAGUCAGUUGCAAAAGACGUAAUUAUUAAUAGAAGGAAAUAGAACUAUCUUCGUUAGUCAUUUUUAAGUUCAUUGCAUAUUGUUUUUCAUUUGAGUCUUCCUAGAAUUUGCAUAGAUGCCUACAAGAUUGAGGAUCAACAUCUUGUAAUGCAUUCCAAUGAUUACGAUAGAUUGAUAUAUAGAUUAGAUAUUUAUGACAAGUUUUCUUCUUUUACAACACUUCAUUGCUUUUUGUUUCUAUUAGUAGAAAAUUAUAUAAAAUAAAAUAUAAUAUAAUUAUAAUUAUAUAAAGAAGUUUCCUUUAUAAUACACGGACGUAUAUAUCAUUAGGAUCACAAGUGUUACAGUUCUCUGGUUUUAUGCAACUUGAUAUGGGAAACCAAUUUCUAUGGCCAUUGUCUCCAAAGCAAUAAGAAUAUGGUACGAUCAAAUUAGAAAUUUAAAGCAGAAUUUUCACAAAUUUUUCUAUUAUAAUUAUUACUCGCCGCUAAUCAAGAAAAUGAAAAAUUACUUACAGCAGAUUGCCAGGAAUAGAAUAUACUCGUCGUAGUCAUUAAUAUUCCCCUUAAAUGGUUCCUUGAAUUAUGUGCUCGACUCUCCUGGACGUGUAUAUUUCUAUCCUCUUGAUAUUUUAUUCUGUUAAACACACUUCAGAGUUUUCUGAAAAUAACAAAAAUGUUCAAUUAAUCUUUUAUUAUAUUUUCUCAGCAUCCUAAUUAUUUAUUUAAAAAUUAGGAUCCAUAUUCAGAAUUUUAUUUUUAUCAGAAAAAAUGUCAGAAUCUCCUUAAAACAUUCUGAAAUGAACUUUCGUUUCAAGCAAAUGGAUGAAAAAUAAAAACUAAUUGGUUUGAUCGCAAAAGCAAACGAAACCGGUUCGGUUGCGGAUAUGUGUCUCUCGUAGACAACUCGUCUCUACGUUCGUCUCUUUGUAUUCUUAUCAUGGACUCAUGCAUCUCUAUUCUAAUUGAUUAGCUGCCCGGCAAACAAGCAAUUACUAGUUUCAGACAAGUAUUAAAGAGGGAUAUUAAUGGCUACGACGAGUAUAUUCUAUUCCUGGCAAACCACUUAGUUUGUUGGACUCGUCAACAGGUAGUAUCAUUGAGACAGGAAAUACGGAAUAAUUUCGCGAAAUAUCAAGCACAUGUGCAACAGUUGGCUCCAUAUACGAUUAUCCGAUUGGUUCGUAUAAAUGUCUAAAAUGAAGUAUCCUAAUUCCGAUAAUCCUAAUUACGCUUUCUCCUCGGUUUAAUUUUAAACAAUAAUUCAAAAUUAUGCAACAAGUAAAAUAUCAAUCACUGGUAAAAUAUAAUAUCUAAUAAUAGUAAAAAUAAGUUAACCAUAGCAUGAAAAAAUAGUAAGAAACUACGCAAUUUUUUAUAAUCUACUAUAAAACAAUAUAUCGUAGUAUUGGAUAUGAACUUGUAUAAAAUAGGGCAUAACAUAACGUUACUAAUAUAAACUCAUAGACACAUAUAUAAAAUUAUCCUAUUGUCUAUAACAUACAAUAUAAAGAACACAAUCUGAUGAAAAUGAAUCUUCGCGUUAGUUAUUCAGAAAUUUAAAUAAGGUGCAACUUAUCAAGAACAUAAAGAAAAAUACUAGCGAAUCCCAUUAUCGAAUCCAGUUAUGCAGCCAAUGUUCAGGUACUACGGUUUAUAUACUAAUCAUCUUUUCUUUCUUAGAGUUUUGUCUGGACACGAUGUUGCCUCGAUUAAAAAUAAAUUACUCCCAGUUUUGUCGAUUAGCUUUUAAUUUUUUCCUUUUUUUUUUCGUUGAAUUUUGUCUACAUAUUCGGAAGAAGUAAAUAUUUAUCAAAAAUUGAAUUUCUGAUGAUGCAUCCUAAACAAAUAUAUGAAAAUAUGAAUUCAAUACCAACUGAUUCACUUUCCUAGUACACACUCGUUCGCUUCUUUUCUUCUUGAAUUUAAAUUUCUUUUUUCACUUUCUUAUCUUUCAAUUUUCUUUUUCAACUUACAUCUAUUUAUAUCCAUCUUAAUUUAAGAAAGGGCAAGGAUAAUUCACGAAAUAAUAAAUAAAUAUAUAAAUAAAUAAGUUCGUAGAUGGCCUUCAUUACGUAUAACAUAAGUAAGUCAUUGUAAAAUUGAUAUACGUUUCUGAAUGGAAUUUUCUUUAUUCUUUUCAGUCGAAAGGCGAAUUCGAUACAUCCGUUAUUACAUAUAUGUAUCGACUUAUAUCUACAUAUAUGUACACUUGUGUAUCUAUGUAUUUUACAAUGCCUUACUUAUGCUAUAUAUUUUAUAGGCCAAUUACGAACUUAUUUACUUAUCUAUUUAUCUAUUCUUUCGUCAAUUAUAUGUGCCAUUUUAAAAAUUAAGAAGGAUAUAAAUAGAUGUAAGUUGAUAAAGGAAAUUGAAAGAUAAGAAAGUGAAAAAAGAAAUUUAAAUUAAAGAAGAAUAGAAACGAACGAGUGUGUACUAGAAAAGUGAAUCAGUUGAUAUCGAAUUCAUAUUUUCAUAUAUUUGUUUAGGAUGCAUCGUUAGAAAUUCAAUUUUUGAUAAAUAUUUACUACUUAGACACGAUGUUGCCUCGAUUAAAAAUAAAUUGCUUCAAGUUUUGUCGAUUAGCUUUUAAUUUUUUUCUUUUUUUUCGUUGAAUUUUGUCUUCAUAUUCGGAAGAAGUAAAUGUUUAUCAAAAAUUGAGUUUCUAAUGAUGCAUUCUAAACCAAUAUAUGAAAAUAUGAAUUCCAUAUCAACUGAUUCACUUUCCUAGUACACACUCGUUCGCUUCUUUUCUUCCGUAAUUUAAAUUUCUUUUUUCACUUUCUUAUCUUUCUAUUUUCUUUUUCAACUUACAUCUAUUUAUAUCCUUCUUAAUUUUUAAAAUGUCACAUAUAAUCGACGAGAUAAUAGAUAAAUAGAUAAGUAAAUAAGUUCGUAAUUGGCCUAUAAAAUAUAUAGCAUAAGUAAGGCAUUGUAAAAUACAUAGAUACACAAGUGUACAUAUAUGUAGAUAUAAGUCGAUACAUAUAUGUAAUAAUGAAUGUAUCGAAUUCGCCUUUCGACUGAAAAGAAUAAAGAAAAUUCCAUUCAGAAACGUAGUAGAUAAAAGAGAAAAUAUAUACAUUAAUUUUAAACAGAAUGUAAUGAACUUACUAAGUAAUAGGGAAUAUAAUUGUGCUUCCAUUUGUAAUUAGAACUUUUAGAACUAUUUGUAAGAAAACAGGUAGUACUUAAUGAGGCAUUACGAUUCAUAGAUUGAAACACACUUUUAUAACAACCCUAUAGUUAGAAAAACAUGGAAUCAUGUAUCUCUAUUCUAAUUGGUUAACUGACCGGCAAAGAAGCAAUAUAACUGGUUUCAGACAUGCAACUCAACUGAUAUGUUUGACUCGUCAAUCGAUAGUAUCACCGAAAUACCAAAUACGGAAAAAUAUCACGAAAUAUCCAACACGUGUGCAACAGUUGGAUCCAUAAACGAUUAUUCGAUUGGUUCGUAUAAAAGUCUAAAAAGAAAUACCCGAAAACCCUAAUUACGCUUCCUUUUCAGUUUAAUUUUAUACCAUAAUUCAAAAUUAUGCAACAAGUAAAAUAUCAAUCACUGGUAAAAUAUAGUAACUAAUAAUAAUAAAGAUCAGUUAACCAUAGCAUGAAAAAAUAGUAAGAAACUAUGCAAUUUUCUAUAAUCUACCAUAAAACAUAUUAUCGUAGUAUUGGAAUUGAACUUGUAUAAAAUAGGGCAUAACAUAACGACAGUAAUAUAAACUCAUAGAUAGAUAUAAAAAAUUAUACUAUUGUGUAUAGCAUGCAAUGUGGAACAGAAUCUUAUGAUAAUGGAUCCUCGCAUUAAAUAUUAUAAAAUUCAAGUAUGAUUCUACUUAUCAAGAACUUGAAAAAUGUAUCGGGUGAUUCCCAAAAUCGAUUUCAAAUAUGCGGCCAAUUUUCAGAUACUACGGUUUGUAUGCUAAACAUCUUUUCUUUCUUGGAGUUUCGUCGCUUUGGACUCUUUACCGUAUCGAUUAAAUGUUAAUUGCUCUAAGUUUCGUCGAAUAGCUUUUAGUUUCUUGUUUUUCUGUUAAAUCUUGUCUCCAUAUUUAGAAGAAGCACGUAUUUAUCAAAAAUGGAGGAUCCAUCUAUGCCAAUAUAAACAAAUAUAGGAAAAUAUGAAAUUGAGAAUGAGUCCACUUACCUAGUACAUAUAAGCUUGCUUCUUUUCUCGAUGUCUCUUUUCUUCUUUAAUAUUAACUUGAUUUUUUAUUUUGACUUAUUUUUCAAUUUUCUCUUUAAUUUUACAUCCGUGGUUUACUGAUGUUCGUAUGACAUAUAUGUAUACACAUAUGUGUAUAUAUAUACAUAUAUAUAUAUAUAUAUGUAUAUAUAUUUUACAACGCAUUGCUUAUGUUAUACGUAUUGAAGGCAAAUUAUGAGCUUAUUUAUUUAUACAUUUAUCUAUAUCCAUAUGAUUCUCAGAAAUAUAUAAAGAGUAUAUCAGUUUAUAGACAAAUAUAUAAAUAAAUAUAGAUAUGAACAUUGGACUUUAAUACGUACAAAGUACACAGUGCGGUGAAAUAUAUAUAUAUAUAUAUGUGUGUGUGUGUGUGUAUAUGCAUGUAUUUACGUAUAUAUCGAAUCAGUCUACCAUCUGAAAAGAAUAGAGAAAAUUUCAUUCAUAAAUUUCAUUCAAAAGAAAAGAGAAAAUAUAUAAACUAAUUUUUAACAGAAUGUAAUGAACUUACCAAGUACUAGCACAAAUAGUUUUAACUCCAUUAAUAAUUACGCCUUGCAGGACUAUCUGUAAGAAAACAAUUAGUACUUAAUAAUGCAUUACGAUUGAUAGAUCGAAACACAGUUUUACAACAAGCCGAUAAUUAGAAAAGGAGACUCAAAUAUUAACAUUCCAAGGGAUAUUUAUAUUAUUCCAAACAAUUCACUAAGCUUUAGUUCAAAUAACGCAAAUUAUAGUAUUUCCUCUGGUUAAUAUUAUACAAUAAUAUACCCAAGACAAAUUGCUAGAUAUAAUAUAUAGUGCAAGAAGAUAAUAAACUAUACAUCUUUCUAUAGUAUAUUAUAAAACGGUAUAUCGUAGUAUUGAACACAAAAUUGUAUAAAAUAUAGUAUAAUGCGUUAAUAUUAAGUAGCAUAAAAUUUAAAUAGGAUUUCACUAACCGAUAGCGCGUUUUUUAUAACCUUCCAGAUAAGUAACAUUAUCGCGAUGGACAGGAACUUACAUAUUAUUCUAAAUCGUCCCUCUCUUGAAACCUCCAGGAAGUUGCUUGUAGGACGAUUCGAAACAGAAUAAAUAGUUUAUUCAACUUCCGCGGACGGCUCCUAACAUCUUUUAUAUUGACUCGAGCAUGCGCUGUUUCGUUUAAUCCCCUCUUUUUCAUAUAUUCACGAUCCCCAAUUAUCUCUUCACAAUGUUACCAACAAUUUUGGAUCGAUAUUACCGUAAAAGGAAGAUUUCUGUUUGCUUUUAUCUCUGUUUUCUCUUCUUGAUUCUGUUUUCUCCAUUUGAUUCCCCAUGUGAUUCUCCAUACUCGUAUCUUUUCGAUCAUUUCACGAUGUAAAAAUCGAAUUGCGUUUAUCUACUUUCAGUUGAGGAAAAUUUUUUUGGCAUUUUAUUUUUCAUUUUUUGGCAUUUUAUUUUUGCAUUUAAUUUAUUUGGCAUUUAAUUAUUCAUAUUUAUUUAUUUUGUGCGAAGAGAAUGUUGACAUUACCAAGAAAGUAGAAUUCAGAAUAUUGUAUUUAAAAGGAAUGGUAAUCUCAGGGAAAAUCUCUUCCUACAAUAUUUAUAACUGAUGAUUUGUGCGAUGUAAAUCGGUUGACCGAAUAACGAUGGCUAGAAAGGAGUAUAAUAGAUCUUUACUAUGUUGGGGGAAAUAUUAUGUAAAUGUUUAUUAUAUGUACGCUUAUUGAGAUAUUUAAUCAUCCGAGUAAAACAUUAGGAAAAUGCUGAAUAAAUUAGAAAUAUUAUGUUACUAGAUAUAUAAUGAUGUCGUUGCUAUACUGAGUUAUACGUAAUGAGAAAUGAACGAUUCGAUUAAGGUAACAUUUUCCGAGGAACUAAUUAGUUUGGAAUAUAUGAAAUAUCAGAUAAUUGGCAGUAUAAGUGGAUCGUUCUUUGAAAUUUUCCUGUCGGGAAUUAAUUUUUCGGAAAAAGUAUUCCUUCGUAUGAAAGAACUAAAUUAGUUGUGGUACAUCGAUCUGCUAAUUAAUUAAUGCAGCUAAAUAGCUAAUUGAAGUACACUGCUAAUCGUAUUAUCGCAUUGGCUGCUUAGUUUAAUAAGAGGAGAACGAACGACAAAAUACCUUUCUUCUUUUGAAAAAAUACCUUUCUUCUUUCGAAAAAAUACCUUUCGUCAAAAUAAGCGAGGAGAUAUACGCACGCACACCCACAGAACCGCGGACAUAUUCCCACUUACAUGCUCUAGCGCGGAUGAGAGAAUAUAAGAGCAUCAGUGUGUGGAGAAAGAUAAUAACAAAUUGUUUAACACGAACGUACACGACGAUACGUAUGGAAGAACGUAACGCAUACAUGCAUUUUCAUUAAAUCUCAAUCGUAAGAUAUUUGCGCUACGUAAUAAUUUAGUUCGUCCAAAUACCUAUAUUUCUGAAAAACGUACAUUAUACAUUAUUUUUAAGUACAUGACGUGAAUAUUCUGACAAAUAAUUUGGAACAUUGAACCAAACACUUCUUCUCUUUUUAAUUAUAUUGAAUAAUAAUAUAAACUGACGGUAUAACGAUGACACGGUGAGAUAAACGUACUCUACAUAUUAACGCAUAAUUUAAAAGCGUGUCCGGGCUAACGUUAUUAUCCCGAAGAACAAUGAAUACUUUGAUCGUAUACACAGCUUUGAUCAUUUUCAAUGAUAAAGCUGCCUGAGUACCAUUUCAGUUCCAUUUGAAUCCAGAUUCCCUUUGCAACGGCAAACAAACCUACGAUAAAUCUUUCCCAUAACACUCCAUUAUAUCCUCUAUCUAAAGCCACUUACCUUUGAAUCCUUUCAAUAACGUAUAUUCCAUAUCCUCGUAUCACCAUAUGAAUGAAGCUUUGUAAUACAGCGCUAUUUUAAUUGACGAUUACCUUGAGGCAAUACUUUGAGGAUCGUCGUCAACACCAUUAUAAAUGUUUGUCCUCUUCUUCCUCUUCUUCCUUGUUAAUUGCAACCACGUAACGAAGACGCUAUGGAACAUAAUUAUGCGGAUCACGUUUGUAAAGGAAAUGCCUUCCUUUCGAACCCAGCACGUUGAUUAUUACUACAGCUAAGAAAUAGCAAAUAUGUUUAGGAAACCGUCGAUAAUCGUUGAUAGUAAAAUGCCGCCGAUCGUUAUUAUAUAAUUCAGUGUCCGCACAUAAGAUAUAUGGAUAUGUAUUUUUCUGUUCUUCCUUUUUUUAAAUUCGAGUUAUAAUAUAAAGCGGCAUGUCAUUGCCUAAAAACUGUAACAAGGAUCUAAAAAUAUUAAAGCACAAUCUUUUUAGAUGAUAACACUGGAGAACAACUUCGAACGUCAAUUUCUUGACAUUCCAUAAUAGAUGAUGAAUAUGUUUUUGACGUAGGAUUCUUUGAAAAUAUUCUCUUAUAAAUGUAUUUGUUCCUGUAAGGUACUAUAUAUUAGGAUCAUAAUAAAAAAGCAGGUACACCUCGUUCUGGUCACUUUGCACACCAUAUUAUUUGUAUUAUGACCAAAGAAGAUAUUGUUUACAUGAACAACAUCUUUGGCUGAUUUUGUCACAUAGGAAUUAAAAAUAUGUAUAUUAACGCCCGCAAGAUAUUUUUGUUAUGAGAGAAUAUUAAUAAGAGAAUUAAUUUCGUUUCAUGGAAUGUGAAUAUUUGGUAGGGUGAGAUCAAUAAAAAUAAAGCAGAAGCAUUUGUAACGAUAUUCUGUUAUGGAAUAUGGAUAUGGUAGUAAAACAGAGAUCAUAAUAUGUCAAAUUAAAAGAGAUCGUUAGAGAAGUCUUAAUUAAUUUCAUCUUCUAGCUUUUCGUCUGUGAAAGCAAUAAAGAUGCAUAGAAUGUAAAAACUCUGUUUGUUCGGCACCCUCUCGGAUGUUAUCUGUCAGCAAAUAGAUGGUAAUUUUUUGCGUAAUCGUGGUCCAUUGACUUACGUAAUAUAAUAUAUCGUGACCGUGGAACUAACGGAUAUAUUGUAAUGAUCUUUAAUUUAUAUGAAUUUGUAGAUAUUGAAAAGCAUAUUUCAUUACAAAAUAUUAUCCCUUAUAAUUUUCUACGAUAUCUGUGAUAAGCUUUGCAGGAUUUUCAUCCUUAUCAUCAUCUAUGAAAUUUUUCCUGUUUUCAUAUUCGGUGGUAUCACUAUCACUGUUACCGUUCUUUUCUGGAUUUAUACUUGUCUUUUUGAAAUUGCUCUUCACUAUUUAUAUCUUAUAUCAUGUAAUGUAGUCGUGUUUGUAGACUUUGUCAUUGUCCUAAUAAAAAAAAAAAAAAUGAGUAAAUGAAUGCGUUGAAAAUUUCUUUCUACCUCUAAUUGUAUGUUACGAAACGACCAAACGAUAUAUACCCAAAGAAUAUUAUUUUUCUGAUUUUCGGACUGAUUAGUCCAGGGAUCUACUUAUCUACUCGAAGCUUCAUUACGGACUGGUGUCAGCUUUAAAAAUCUCUUACUCCAGUUUUAGGAUCGGUUGUUUACUUUAUCAAAUUACCUAACGAACAGAGAAAGAACAUUGUUAGCUAGAGAAUUGAAAUUUAGGAAGUUUAGGAAUGAUUCUCGUCUAUAGAAAUCACUCCUUCGUUAACUUUUCAAAGAAUAUCAUGUAAGUGAAUACCAUAUAUUUACAUACUAAAAAUAAUUGCUAUCUGUAUAUAAUUCAGACGUCCUAAAGAAUAUUUUCACAACCUAUCAAUCUGUUAGUACGAUUUCAAUAUUCUCACUAUUUCUUCUCCGGGAGAACCUCACACUUAUUUAAUGAAUCUCGAGGAAUCAUUGUUUCCAUCGCAACAUUCGUUUAUAUCAUCGCUAUUGGAUAAAUUUAUAAGUGGCCAUUUGUAUACAAUUUAUUACAUAAUUCCAAUUAUAUAUUAUAGAAAUGAAAAUAAUUCUCUUUACCCAUACCAUUUUAAUUAUUAAUUAAAAUGCGUUUAGAAGAAGCCGCUGUACGAUUUAAAAGGAAUCAUCUGAUAUAUUUCUGGUAAUUAUACAAUUAAAAUGAAUGAAUGUGUAUCAGAAGUCUUAACUAAUCUACGAAUUUUUAAUUAUUUCGGAGAUAUACGAGACGAAACGGAGGAGAAAGCAGUUACUAUAGACCAGAAAUAUUGCAAUGGAGCCUAAUUGAUUGCUAGUUGUAAUUCCUUCCAAAGAAGAUACACAAACUUCAAUUACGCUCAAUGUGAUAAUUAAACAUUCGACGUCCCAAGUGACAUACAUUUACAUUGUCAGUUCCUGUUCUUCCGUACAUUCGACGAUACGUCCAACAGGGAUAGUGAAAACGCCCGACCAUCAAUCCAAAUAGGAUACGUGAACAUUUUCCUCUGUAGCCUUAUAUCUAAAUUGUAAAUCAAUCAAUGGUGUGUUUAUCGAGUGAUUUUAUGAAGGCGACGAAAGUAUUUCUAUUUCUAAGAGAAUUCUUUUCAAAUCUUUCACGUGAUAUGAAACCCAAGUUGGCGAGAGAAGCAUGGUGUAUGGAGACAACGUGACGCCAUUGCUAGCGCAUUAUUAUACCAAUCAUCGAUCUUGAUAUUGGAUUUUAAUAAACGAGAUGAGAUAUAAGUAACUUGUCACGUAUAUUAUCCAAUUUUCCAUAUAAUUUGAUUCGUAUAUCUCUAAAAUAGAUCCAAAUUCGUAGAUUAGUUAAGACUUAUCGAAGUCAUUCGUUCAUUUCAAUCAUAUAACUAUCGAAAUUAAAUCAGAUGAAGCCUUUUAAAUGCUACAGCAACUACUCCUAAACGCAACAAAAUAAUAAUUAAAAUGUUAUGAAUCAACAGAAUCAAUUUCAUUUUUAUAAUAUAGAAAUGAAAUUUUCUACUAAAUCUAAUCGUGUUUAAACCGUUUGUAUUACUUGUAAAGCUGUUCUCUGGGACGUAUAAUAGCUAGGGAUUAUUUCGCGUAUGACACACAUUUGCGUAUUACUGGAUCGAAAAUCACAGAAGGAAUGACUUCCCCUGGCGAAGUUAAUCUCAUGUCGUCCCGUGAGACCAAGCUUUCUAGAUUCUAAUUCUCUAACUAGAACGCAUGGGGAUAAAAAAUUUCCCCUUUUCUAUAAUUAUGUAAUUAUAUAUACUUUAUUAUGUUAUUAUAUAUACUCUUUGUUCAAAGGAAAUUAUCUCAUGUAUCUUGGAAUAUCCUAAUGAGAAUCUUAUAUAUAUCUUAUAAUAGAAUCUAAUAAUAAUUCGUCUCUUUUUUAAUUAAAAUAAGCACAUAAAACUGUAAUUACUUGUAAUAUAAUUAAUUAUUAUAAUAAUAAUUAUUGUAAUUAUCAAGACUAAUUCCUAUGAAAUUAAUCGGAUAUUCAUAUACGAAAUUCGCAAUGUUUCUUCUUUCGUAAGUCCAACUUAUACUUAAAAAUAGUAUUCUAAUAUUAUUAGUUACUAAUGGUAUCACAAUUUUCGUACCAUGUAAAUACUACGUAAUUCUUAUCGUCAACAAUUCUGUCGUAAGAAAAUUUUUUCGUCGAAAUUUAUAUCUACUUCCACAUUACUUGAAAACAUUUUCUCGAAAUAUUACGAUCUUUUUUUUGUAAACAAAUGCAUAU